UACGUAGGGGGCAAGCGUUGUCCGGAAUCAUUGGGCGUAAAGAGCGUGUAGGCGGCCCGGUAAGUCCGCUGUGAAAGUCCAGGGCUCAACCCUGGGGAUGCCCGGUGGAUACUGUCGGGCUCGAGUCCGGAAGAGGAGUGUGGAAUUCCUGGUGUAGCGGUGGAAUGCGCAGAUAUCAGGAGGAACACCAGAGUGGAGCGGAACGACCA
rnacentral:rRNA from 1 species